UGCAGUCGAGCGGACAGAUGGGAGCUUGCUCCCUGAUGUCAGCGGCGGACGGGUGAGUAACACGUGGGUAACCUGCCUGUAAGACUGGGAUAACUCCGGGAAACCGGGGCUAAUACCGGAUGCUUGAUUGAACCGCAGGUUCAAUUAUAAAAGGUGGCUUUUAGCUACCACUUACAGAUGGACCCGCGGCGCAUUAGCUAGUUGGUGAGGUAACGGCUCACCAAGGCAACGAUGCGUAGCCAACCUGAGAGGGUGAUCGGCCACACUGGGACUGAGACACGGCCCAGACUCCUACGGGAGGCAGCAGUAGGGAAUCUUCCGCAAUGGACGAAAGUCUGACGGAGCAACGCCGCGGGAGUGAUGAAGGUUUUCGGAUCGUAAAACUCUGUUGUUAGGGAAGAACAAGUACCGUUCGAAUAGGGCGGUACCUUGACGGUACCUAACCAGAAAGCCACGGCUAACUACGUGCCAGCAGCCGCGGUAAUACGUAGGUGGCAAGCGUUGUCCGGAAUUAUUGGGCGUAAAGCGCGCGCAGGCGGUUUCUUAAGUCUGAUGUGAAAGCCCCCGGCUCAACCGGGGAGGGUCAUUGGAAACUGGGGAACUUGAGUGCAGAAGAGGAGAGUGGAAUUCCACGUGUAGCGGUGAAAUGCGUAGAGAUGUGGAGGAACACCAGUGGCGAAGGCGACUCUCUGGUCUGUAACUGACGCUGAGGCGCGAAAGCGUGGGGAGCGAACAGGAUUAGAUACCCUGGUAGUCCACGCCGUAAACGA
rnacentral:rRNA from 1 species